UGGCGGCACUAGCGCGGUGGUCCCACCUGACCCCAUGCCGAACUCAGAAGUGAAACGCCGUAGCGCCGAUGGUAGUGUGGGGUCUCCC
rnacentral:rRNA from 3 species